UUCUGCAGUUUUCUUGAAGAUCGCUCCGCGUCACACGCUGCAACGUUGACGUUCAAGCCACUGACUUGUCAUUUCCACGCGACAUUACUCACCGCUGUCAUGAAUUGGACUCAUGCUAGCCACAAGUUCUGACAGCUCAAUCGUCAUGAAACGCAAAUAUAGUGAUGACUUUUUGUCUCUUUCAUACAAACUUUGAGAAUAACGAGGAGCGCCCACAAUGUGUUUUGUGUGGGCAAGUGCUUAGUAAUGAGUCUCUCAAAACGAACAAAUGAAUAAAACGACACGUCCUGACCAAACAUCCAGGCACAACAUAACGGUGCACUCAGGGAGUUCUUUCAGAACAGGGGAGAAUGCUUCAGAAAACAGUGCUUCGAAAGUAGAAAAAGUCGUGGUUGAACGACGACACUAUCAACUGGCUGGCAACUAUCAAGCCAACUAUCAACUGGCUGGCUGGUUAUACGCCGUACCAGCAGGAUAGAACAUCGGCGUCUGGCUCCUGUUCCUGACUAGGCAGCUACACAGGAAACAGGCCGUAUAAACAGUGGACCAGUAGGGAGCCCUCCUUACCCUUUACUCAGAGCUACAGGAACAGAAUGUAAACAGAGAGCGCGAGACUUUGCUGCGGUUAAUUUUGAGCUUGCCCUAUAGAAGUACGGUUUGCCAGUCAAAGUAAGAGGUGCCAUUUUCAUUGCUUGGAUAGAUUAUUAUGGGUAUAAUCCAUUUUUAAGUGCUGUUACUUUUCAGUAAUAUAAAUAGGACUUUCAGUACUACUACAGUGCCUUCAGAAAGUAUUUAUACCGCUUGACUUAUUCCACAUUUUUAUGUGUUACUGCCUGAAUUCAAAAUGGAUUAAAUACUUUAAAAAAUUACAAUUACAAUUUUUUCUCACCCAUCUACACACAAUACCCCAUAAAGACAAAGAGAAAACAUGUUCUUUGACAUUGUUGCAAAUGUAUUGAAAAUGAAAUUCAGAAAUAUCUCAUUUACAAAAAUAUUCACACCCCUGAGUCAACACUUUGUAGAAGCACCUUUGGCAUCGAUUACAACUGUUAGUCUUUCUGGGUAAGUCUCAGCGCUUUCUACACCUGGAUUGUGCAACAUUAGCUCAUUAUUCUUUUCAAAAUUCUUCAAGCUCUGUCAAAUUGGUUGUUGAUCAUUGGUAGACAGCCAGUUUCAGGUUUUGCCAUACAUUUUCAAGUAGAUUUAAGUCAAAACUGUAACUCUGCCACUCAUUCACUGUCUGCCUGGUAAGCAACUCCAGUGUAUAUGUGGCCUUGUGUGUUAGGUUAUUGUCCUGCUUAAAGGUGAAUUCAUCUCCCAGUGUCUGGUGGAAAGCAGACUGAAGCAGGUUUUCCUCUAGGAUUUUGCCUGUGCCUAGCUCCAUUCCAUUUUCUUUUUUCCUGACAAAGUCCUGAACGAUUACUAGCAUACCCAUAACAUUAGGCAGCCACCACUACGCUUGAAAAUAUGGUGGCAGUCCGUAUUGUGCUGUAUUGGAUUUGCCCCAAACAUUAUACUUUGUAUUGGGGCCAAAAAGUUAAUUGCUUUCCCACAUUAUUUGCAGUAUUACUUUAGUACCUUGUUGCAAACAAGAUGCAUGUUUUGAAAUCUUUUUAGUCUGUACAGGCUUCCUUCUUUUCACUCUGUCAAUUUGUUUGGUAUUGUGAAGUAAUUACAAUUUGUUGAUCCAUCCUCAGAUUUCUCCUAUCACAGCCAUUAAACUGUAACUCAAUAGCGGUGCAUGGGUAAAAUCACUGGGGAAGCCAAGCCUGGAAGAAAAAAAUCCAUAUUGCUAAUUUAGGAAAGGGACAAUUUUAGCUAGCUAGCUAGCCACUGGAAGACAACGACACAACGAAAUGCAACAAUUAAACUUUUUUUCAAUCAAUGACGUUUGGCUUUUUAUGUGAUUGGUGUGAAGCCAAAUCCUAACUGUCUUCCCUUGACAGUUUUUUUUUGAUGCACCAGGACCAUUCAUAGUUGAGCUAGCUCAGUUUAGCUCAAAGCUGAUUAGUUAUUAUUUUAUUUAGAAAAGAUAUCAAGGGAGGACAAAUACUCACUGGCUUCCCUUGCAUUCAAUGCUAUGGGCGGCAACAAUGUCAUACCUUUUUGACCAGACAGCAUCAGAUAGAUGAGCUACACAUACCAAGACAGAAGGGUGCUGUUUUGCUCACUUGUUGAGUUUACAUUCAGCCUCUUGUGAAUCGAAGGAAAAUUAUGAAACACAGAUAGACUAAAGAUCAAUCAUUUUCCCCUUGGGAUUCAUGAAUACACACCACUUCUGUAACAGUAUUAAAGUCACCAUUGGACUCAUGGGGAAAUCCUUGAGUGGUUUCUUUCCUCUCUGGCAACUGAGUUAGGAAAGACGCCUGUAUCUUUGUAGUGACUGGGUGUAUUGAUUCACAUCCAACGUGUAAUUAAUAACUUCACCAUGCUCAAAGGAAUAUUCAAAGUCUACAUUAUUCUUUUUUUACUCAUCUACCAAUAGGUGUCCUUCUUUGAGAGGCAUUGGAAAAUCUCCCUGGACUUUGUGGUUCUGUCCUCAAACUUUUCCCCUCUAAGGACUGGAACUGGAGAACAUGUUCAUAAUGUCCUAGCACUAAGUGACCUGCCCUAUCCAGUACAGUAUCCUACACUCUCCCUUUACUGACAGCAGGAACUGCAAUUUCAUAAUCUGCUAUGUUGCAAUCAAAGUCUAUCUUUCUGUGUUUUUUGGACAGAUUACAAUGAACAAUUAUGUUAAAGGAAGAUGAUUUCAGAGCUCCGCAUCAAAAUGUGGAUUUCAGUCUGUAUGAUGCCUGGAUCAAAUCUGUACCCGAUGACUAGCCACAUAGAUAGAUGAGAGGAAGUCCUCAAAGAAUACAAUGGAAAACCUAUGUGGACAGCUCUGACUGAGAGAGCCCUUCACCACUGAGCCUGUUACAAUCACCAAGAGAUACUAUAACAGACAGACCAAUCAGAAAGAGCUAUAGUCUGGUCUUACACCUCAUACCACCUCAGACAGCUGUGUGUGUGUGUGUGUGUGUGUGUGUGUGUGUGUCUCUGACAGCUCCGCACACAGCCUCCAAUACGAACUUAGAACACAGCAAAAACAUAAUAAGGCAGUGUUAAUACUUAACAGCACCGGGGGGAGAUUCGCUCUCUUCGACGAGCAAUAAUGAAAAGGACACAUUGCUGGCUCUUUCCACUAAUAUUGACCUUCCAUUAAGUGAGACUUACAGCCUCUGUCCGGCUCAGCAUUAAGACCACCUCUAGCCCUCUGGGAAACGUAUUUUUCACAGAAACAUGGAGGUUUAACAACCCUGGUUAGAACAAUAUAUAAGCUGGGGCCUGGGCCCCUGGUGUGGUACUGGAAAGACCUGGUCCUGUCCCGGAGGUUUAUAUAUCCCUGCUGAAACAUCGUUGGGAACUAACCUUACACUCCCCACUGACAUAUGGUAAUGGUUAGGUGAACAUUGAGUGUGUUUGCUUACUUACAGUAGAUUCAUUUGCAGUGUGACAACCAGCUAGAUUAGAGUAGAGCCCGGCUCUUAUUUGAUAUGAAUGGAGCAAUUGUGUUGGAAGGAAUUUGUAUUAUUUAUAUCAAUUUGUUCUCAAUCAUAAUUUUUGCUGCGAAUAUUUUGGCUAUAUUCUAUAAGUGGAAACUUGGUGAAUAGCAAUAAUGUGAUAUGCGUUAAAUCAAAUCAAAUUGUAUUAGUCACAUGCGCUGAAUACAACUUACUUACGAGCCCUUAACCAACAAUGCAGUUAAAAAAAAUACGAACAGAAAUAGAAAUAAAAGUAACAAGUAAUUAAAGAGCAGCAGUAAAAUAACAAUAGCAAGACUAUAUACAGGGGGUACCGGUACAGAGUCAAUGUAUGGGUUAGUUGAGGUAACAUGUACAUGUAGGUAGAGUUAUUAAAGUGACUAUGCAUAGAUGAUAACAGCAGAA